GACGAACCGUGCAAACGUUAUUCGGAAUUACUGGGCGUAAAGGGCGCGUAGGCGGCCUUCUAAGUCGAACGUGAAAUCCCCGGGCUUAACCUGGGAACUGCAUUUGUGACUGCAUGGCUGGAGUGCGGCAGAGGGGGAUGGAAUUCCGCGUGUAGCAGUGAAAUGCGUAGAUAUGCGGAGGAACACCGAUGGCGAAGGCAAUCCCCUGGGCCUGCACUGACGCUCAUGCACGAAAGCGUGGGGAGCAAACAGG
rnacentral:rRNA from 1 species